rnacentral:rRNA from 1 species
AGCAGCCGCGGUAAUACAGAGGGUGCAAGCGUUAAUCGGAAUUACUGGGCGUAAAGCGCGCGUAGGUGGUUUGUUAAGUUGGAUGUGAAAGCCCCGGGCUCAACCUGGGAACUGCAUCCAAAACUGGCAAGCUAGAGUACGGUAGAGGGUGGUGGAAUUUCCUGUGUAGCGGUGAAAUGCGUAGAUAUAGGAAGGAACACCAGUGGCGAAGGCGACCACCUGGACUGAUACUGACACUGAGGUGCGAAAGCGUGGGGAGCAAACAGGAUUAGAUACCCCUGUAGUCCCUGUCUCUUAUACA